UUCAUGGAGAGUUUGAUCCUGGCUCAGGACGAACGCUGGCGGCGUGCCUAAUACAUGCAAGUCGAGCGGACCGACGGGAGCUUGCUCCCUUAGGUCAGCGGCGGACGGGUGAGUAACACGUGGGUAACCUGC
rnacentral:rRNA from 1 species